rnacentral:RNase_P_RNA from 19 species
UUGGUAAACCAGACGAUCGCCGUUUUAAGUUAAAUAUUGAUGCGUUAAGUGUGAUUAUUUAAGACAAAAGGGAGGAAAGUCCGGGCUACAUAAGGCAGCGUGCCAGCUAACGGCUGGGCGGGGUAACCCGACGACAAGUGCAACAGAGAGCAGACCGCCUCAAUUUAAGCUCUACAGCCUAGCUGUAAAGUGGUGAGGUAAGGGUGAAAGGGUGCGGUAAGAGCGCACCGCGUGGCUGGCAACAGUUCAUGGCAAGGUAAACUCCACGCGUAGCAAGACCAAAUAGGUGUCCAUUACUUGUCGCCUGCAGGGGACACGGGUAGGUUGCUUGAGCGUACUGGCAACGGUGCGCCUAGAUGAAUGAUCGUUCACGACAGAACCCGGCUUAUCGGUUUACCAAAAUA